GAAGGAGAGCUGCUAGAAGACCUUAUCAUUCAGAUCCAGAUCCAAAUCCAUUCUCUCUCUCUCUCUCUCUCUCUCUCUCUCGAUUGGAAGAAGGAGAGCUGCUAGAAGACCUUAUCAUUCAGAUCCAGAUCCAAAUCCAUUCUCUCUCUCUCUCUCUAUUGGAAGAAGGAAAGCUGCUAGAAGACCUCCUUAUCAUUCAGAUCCAGAUCCAAAUCAGUUCAAGCCUGCAAGGCCAGGGGAUCGGAUCUGAGGGUUCACUUCAAGGUACAUUGACCUUCAUCCUUUUACCUGUUUCUGCUUCUAAGCAUUUCAUGUGAAUUUUAGUUAUCUUUAAAAAAAAAUGAAUUUUAGUAAUCUCAUAUAUUUUGGAAUUGUGAUUGUUACUAAAGUUGGUUUUGAUUUCUCUAAGAAGUCAAUCACUAUCUAUCUGGAUACAAUAUUUAGCUGCAGUGUAAGAAUACAUUAAUUGUCAAAGUGGACAUGUUACCUUGUAUUUUAUGAAUUGAUAUUUCUAUAUUUGAUUCUGGACCCAUAUUGGAUACUGUAUAAAUGGGCUUUUGUAGGUGUGUAAUCAUAGUAGGGGCAAGAUGGUUAGAGCUUUGUCUUAAAGAAAAUUGAAAGAGGGAGAAAUGUGCAUGCUUGAUUUAAUUUAUUGAUUUGGAUGGAGUGGAAGCUAAGGCACUUAUCCAGUAUCUUCGCCUGAUUUCCUUCCAUGUUUCUGGGACAGUUCAUAGUAAUGCAACUGCUCGAGUUUGAUCUCAUGGGUAACUCAAUAAUCUGCAGGCUAUUGUGUGUUUUGUGAAUAUUCUUAAAGAACUUCAGGAACUUGCUAGAGAAACUUGUCAAGAAUUGUCUUCUUCAUGUCUCUUAUUAGGUUACUGAUACAGUCAGCAUCUCCUUAGGGCAUGUUUGGUCGGGUGGAUUGGAAGGGAUUGAAUGGUAUUAGGGUGGAUGGCAUGGAUUUCAAGGUAAU